rnacentral:lncRNA from 1 species
CCGUCCCUCCCCUCACUGAUUCGGCUUUGGGGGCCCUGCCCUGUCCCUCACCGAGUGCGGGACUCUGGGGGUCUCUCCCCUCAGCGAGGGCGGGUUUAGGGAAGGGUCCCGUCCCUCCCCUCACGGUGCCGGGAGUGUUUGCGCGGUGCCGUCCCUCCCCUCACGGGCCGCGAUCCCGGAGCCGCGGCCAUCCCAGCACCUGGAGCUUGUUUUGUGCAAACCUGGAGUUGCUGGGAGCAGCCCUGUUGCCACCACAAAAAGGAUGGGAUUUAAAGCUGAAAUCCUUGGCUUGGAGAAGCAGGUCAGUGUGAGCUCUGCAAACGUGGUUCCCCUGACAGAGGAGAGGAUCAAGGCCAUCGCCUCCAC